rnacentral:rRNA from 1 species
GGGCCAAAGGCGGCGCCGGUUCGCCGGCGCUGUCACCUGGAGAUGGGCCCGCGUCCGAUUAGCUUGUUGGCGGGGUAACGGCCCACCAAGGCGACGAUCGGUAGCUGGUCUGAGAGGAUGGCCAGCCACACUGGAACUGGAACACGGUCCAGACUCCUACGGGAGGCAGCAGUGAGGAAUAUUGCGCAAUGGGGGAAACCCUGACGCAGCAACGCCGCGUGGGUGAAGAAGGCCUUCGGGUCGUAAAGCCCUUUCGGACGGGACGAACGCUUCGCGUCGACAACACGCGAAGCCUGACGGUACCGUAGGAAGAAGCACCGGCUAACUCCGUGCCAGCAGCCGCGGUAA